UUGCCUCAGUAACGGCGAGUGAAGCGGCAACAGCUCAAAUUUGAAAUCUGGCCCCCCGGGGGUCCGAGUUGUAAUUUGCAGAGGAUGCUUUUGGCGCGGUGCCUUCCGAGUUCCCUGGAACGGGACGCCGGAGAGGGUGAGAGCCCCGUACGUGUAAAGCUCCUUCGACGAGUCGAGUAGUUUGGGAAUGCUGCUCUAAACGGGAGGUACACCCCUUCUAAAGCUAAAUACCGGCCAGAGACCGAUAGCGCACAAGUAGAGUGAUCGAAAGAUGAAAAGCACUUUGAAAAGAGAGUCAAACAGCACGUGAAAUUGUUGAAAGGGAAGCGCUUGUGGCCAGACCUGUUCAGUCGUGGGUGCACUCUGCCGCAGGCCAGCAUCAGCUCGUGGCGGGGGAGAAAGGCGGCGGGAACGUGGCUCUGGAGUGUUAUAGUACGCCCCACCGCGGGCUGAGGUUCGCGCUCCGCAAGGAUGCUGGCGUAAUGGCCAUCAGCGACCCGUCUUGAAACACGGACCAAGGAGCGGUCCUAACAUGCGAGUGUUCGGGUGCAAAACCCCUACGCGGAAUGAAAGUGAACGGAGGUGAGAGCUUGGCGCAUCAUCGACCGAUCCUGAUGUUUUCGGAUGGAUUUGAGUAAGAGCAUGUUGGGACCAGCCCGAAAAAGAUGAUCUAUGCUUGGAUAGGGCAAAGCCAGAGGAAACUCUGGUGGAGGCUCGCAGCGGUUCUGACGUGCAAAUCGAUCGUCAAAUCUGAGCAUGGAAAGACUAAUCGAACCUUAGUAGCUGGUUUCCGCCGAAGUUUCCCUCAGGAUAGCAGUGUGAACUUCAGUUUUAUGAGGUAAAGCGAAUGAUUAGGGACCCGGGGGGCUAUUUAGCCUUCAUCCAUUCUCAAACUUUAAAUAUGUAAGAAGCCCUCGUUGCUUCGGUGAACGUGGGCAUUCGAAUGGCACUAGUGGGCCAUUUUUGGUAAGCAGAACUGGCGAUGCGGGAUGAACCGAUCGCGAGGUUAAGGUGCCAGAGUAGACGCUCAUCAGACACCACAAAAGGUGUUAUCACAUCUUGACAGCAGGACGGUGGCCAUGGAAGUCGGAAUCCGCUAAGGACUAACAACUCACCUGCCGAAUGUGAUAGCCCUGAAAAUGGAUGGCGCUCAAGCGUCUCACCCAUACCUCGCCUUCAGGGUAGAAACGAUGCCCUGAAGAGUAGGCGGA
rnacentral:rRNA from 1 species